rnacentral:rRNA from 1 species
UGGCGGUGCGGCGUGCUUACCAUGCAAGUCGAACGAUGAUGCCCAGCUUGCUGGGCUGAUUAGUGGCGAACGGGUGAGUAAUACGUGAGUAACCUGCCCUUGACUCUGGGAUAAGCCUGGGAAACUGGGUCUAAUACUGGAUACUACCUUUCAUCGCAUGGUGGGGGGUGGAAAGGGUUUUACUGGUUUUGGAUGGGCUCACGGCCUAUCAGCUUGUUGGUGGGGUAAUGGCUCACCAAGGCGACGACGGGUAGCCGGCCUGAGAGGGUGACCGGCCACACUGGGACUGAGACACGGCCCAGACUCCUACGGGAGGCAGCAGUGGGGAAUAUUGCACAAUGGGCGAAAGCCUGAUGCAGCGACGCCGCGUGAGGGAUGACGGCCUUCGGGUUGUAAACCUCUUUCAGUAGGGAAGAAGCGAAAGUGACGGUACCUGCAGAAGAAGCGCCGGCUAACUACGUGCCAGCAGCCGCGGUAAUACGUAGGGCGCAAGCGUUGUCCGGAAUUAUUGGGCGUAAAGAGCUCGUAGGCGGUUUGUCGCGUCUGCUGUGAAAGCCCGGGGCUCAACCCCGGGUCUGCAGUGGGUACGGGCAGACUAGAGUGCAGUAGGGGAGACUGGAAUUCCUGGUGUAGCGGUGAAAUGCGCAGAUAUCAGGAGGAACACCGAUGGCGAAGGCAGGUCUCUGGGCUGUUACUGACGCUGAGGAGCGAAAGCAUGGGGAGCGAACAGGAUUAGAUACCCUGGUAGUCCAUGCCGUAAACGUUGGGCACUAGGUGUGGGGGACAUUCCACGUUUUCCGCGCCGUAGCUAACGCAUUAAGUGCCCCGCCUGGGGAGUACGGCCGCAAGGCUAAAACUCAAAGGAAUUGACGGGGGCCCGCACAAGCGGCGGAGCAUGCGGAUUAAUUCGAUGCAACGCGAAGAACCUUACCAAGGCUUGACAUUCACCGGACCGCCUCAGAGAUGGGGUUUCCCUUCGGGGCUGGUGGACAGGUGGUGCAUGGUUGUCGUCAGCUCGUGUCGUGAGAUGUUGGGUUAAGUCCCGCAACGAGCGCAACCCUCGUUCUAUGUUGCCAGCACGUGAUGGUGGGGACUCAUAGGAGACUGCCGGGGUCAACUCGGAGGAAGGUGGGGAUGACGUCAAAUCAUCAUGCCCCUUAUGUCUUGGGCUUCACGCAUGCUACAAUGGCCGGUACAAAGGGUUGCGAUACUGUGAGGUGGAGCUAAUCCCAAAAAGCCGGUCUCAGUUCGGAUUGAGGUCUGCAACUCGACCUCAUGAAGUCGGAGUCGCUAGUAAUCGCAGAUCAGCAACGCUGCGGUGAAUACGUUCCCGGGCCUUGUACACACCGCCCGUCAAGUCACGAAAGUUGGUAACACCCGAAGCCGGUGGCCUAACCCCUUGUGGGAGGGAGCCGUCGAAGGUGAUCGAGG